UGCAUCCAUGGCUGUAAGUUCCUUUGGAUAAAAGUGUCUGCUAAAUGACAUAUG
rfam:Salmo salar isolate Sally breed double haploid chromosome ssa04, whole genome shotgun sequence.